GGGUUCAUCCGUUGGUCGGGCUUUUUGGUCUGUGCUGGCGUGAUGGAUUCCUACCUUCUGAAUAACCGGCAUGUCAUUAAUUUGGUGCGCCGGGGAAGCAGGACUGUUACUUUGAGAAAAUUAGAGUGUUCAAAGCAGGCUUAUGCCCGAAUACAUUAGCAUGGAAUAAUAAAAUAGGACGCGCGGUUCUAUUUUGUUGGUUUCUAGAGUCGCCGUA
rnacentral:rRNA from 1 species